rnacentral:rRNA from 1 species
UAUCUCUGUAGAGUCUGCAUAUCAAUAAGCGGAGGAAAAGAAACUAACUAGGAUUCCCUCAGUAACGGCGAGGUGAAGCGGGAAGAGCUCAAAUUUGAAAUCUUCAAGGUUCUACCUUGACGAAUUGUAGUUUAAAGAAGUGUUUUCUGUUGGAGUUUUGGUAAAAGUUCUUUGGAAUAGGACAUCAUAGAGGGUGAGAAUCCCGUAUUUGACCAUUAUUUCCAGCUUUGUGAUACACUUUCAAAGAGUCGGAUUGUUUGGGAAUGCAGUCCAAAAUGGGUGGUAAAUUUCAUCCAAAGCUAAAUAUUGGCGAGAGACCGAUAGCGAACAAGUACCGUGAGGGAAAGAUGAAAAGAACUUUGAAAAGAGAGUUAAACAGUACGUGAAAUUGUCAAAAGGGAAGCGUUUGACACCAGUGUUGUUUUCUCGAAAAUCAAUUAAAAAAGGCAGGAUUUUGUGUUGUAUUGACUUUAUCAGCUUUCUGCACUCUUUUCUUGUCUUUUUUAAUGCACUUUUCGUUUAACAAGUCAACAUCAAUUUCUUUUGUUGUAAAAGGGUCAUUGGAAGGUGGCUUUCUUUUCGGAGAAAGUGUUUAUAGCCUUUGGCCUCUGCAAUCGGAGAGAUUGAGGUCUGCAGCGUAGAUCCUUCGGGGUUAGAUACAUUUGUGCUAAGUUAUAGCCUUUCAUAGACAACUUGUUGACUAUGAUCAGUCAUGUAGCUUACUCGCUUAUGCUAUUUUACCUACGCUUAGGAUGUUGACGAUCAGCUGAGCGCG